CACACACACACAUAUUAAAACAACACACGCACUCAUACAUUUUAAUUCGAAUUAAUUUUGUGUUUACAUAUGGUAAACCAACGAAUUAAUGAAAAUAUGUCAGAACACACAAAUAAUUUAAUUGCAGUUUGGUUGAUGGGAAAACUAUAAAUAAAAAUAUUUUUUUUUUAAUUCUGAAUUUAUUUUUUGUACUUUAAAAUACGAAAAAUAUUGAGUUGAAAAAAUAAUUUUCUGAUUGUAGUAUGUACUUAACUUUCCGAUGACAAAUAUAUUAUACAUUCAUAAUUUAAAUAUUUAAACAAAAUUGCAAAACACACAUACCAUGAAUCGGAUCCACGAAUUCAUCUUGUGGGAAGGUUUGAACUUUAAAUGGAUAAUUUUCAAUAUUGUGCUUCUAAAUUGCCCUGUAAGUUUAAGUUAUAAAGGUUCCGAAACAGAGAACCCAAGAAAAUUGGAUCUUUAAUUUCCUAUAGAGAAUGGAACAACUACCUUUUUUCAAAAAUGUUUCAAAAUUGACAUAUUGUGCAUUUGAAGGAACUUGCUCUUUUAUAGUAAAUAAAAUGACUUGGAAGAUUUAUUUAAAAAAAUUCAAACGUUAAUUAAAAUUAAUAAAUUUUAUUGAAACUGA